ensembl:misc_RNA Metazoa_SRP Metazoan signal recognition particle RNA
GCUGGGCAUGGUGGUGCAUGCCUGUGGUCCCAACUACUUGGGAGGCCGAGGUGGGAGGAUUGCUUGAGCCCAGGAGUCUGAGGCUGCAGUGAGUCAUGAUGACACCACUUCACUCCAGCCUGGAUAACAGAACAAGACCCUGUCUCUU